rnacentral:rRNA from 1 species
UAAGGGCGCACGGUGGAUGCCUUGGCACUAGAAGCCGAUGAAGGACGUUACUAACGACGAUAUGCUUUGGGGAGCUGUAAGUAAGCUUUGAUCCAGAGAUUUCCGAAUGGGGAAACCCAGCAUGAGUUAUGUCAUGUUAUCGAUAUGUGAAUACAUAGCAUAUCAGAAGGCACACCCGGAGAACUGAAACAUCUUAGUACCCGGAGGAAGAGAAAGAAAAUUCGAUUCCCUUAGUAGCGGCGAGCGAAACGGGAAGAGCCCAAACCAACAAGCUUGCUUGUUGGGGUUGUAGGACACUCUAUACGGAGUUACAAAGGACGACAUUAGACGAAUCAUCUGGAAAGAUGAAUCAAAGAAGGUAAUAAUCCUGUAGUCGAAAAUGUUGUCUCUCUUGAGUGGAUCCUGAGUACGACGGAGCACGUGAAAUUCCGUCGGAAUCUGGGAGGACCAUCUCCUAAGGCUAAAUACUCUCUAGUGACCGAUAGUGAACCAGUACCGUGAGGGAAAGGUGAAAAGCACCCCGGAAGGGGAGUGAAAUAGAACCUGAAACCGUGUGCUUACAAGUAGUCAGAGCCCGUUAAUGGGUGAUGGCGUGCCUUUUGUAGAAUGAACCGGCGAGUUACGAUUUGAUGCAAGGUUAAGCAGUAAAUGUGGAGCCGUAGCGAAAGCGAGUCUGAAUAGGGCGUUUAGUAUUUGGUCGUAGACCCGAAACCAGGUGAUCUACCCUUGGUCAGGUUGAAGUUCAGGUAACACUGAAUGGAGGACCGAACCGACUUACGUUGAAAAGUGAGCGGAUGAACUGAGGGUAGCGGAGAAAUUCCAAUCGAACCUGGAGAUAGCUGGUUCUCUCCGAAAUAGCUUUAGGGCUAGCCUCAAGUGAUGAUUAUUGGAGGUAGAGCACUGUUUGGACGAGGGGCCCCUCUCGGGUUACCGAAUUCAGACAAACUCCGAAUGCCAAUUAAUUUAACUUGGGAGUCAGAACAUGGGUGAUAAGGUCCGUGUUCGAAAGGGAAACAGCCCAGACCACCAGCUAAGGUCCCAAAAUAUAUGUUAAGUGGAAAAGGAUGUGGCGUUGCCCAGACAACUAGGAUGUUGGCUUAGAAGCAGCCAUCAUUUAAAGAGUGCGUAAUAGCUCACUAGUCGAGUGACACUGCGCCGAAAAUGUACCGGGGCUAAACAUAUUACCGAAGCUGUGGAUUGUCCUUUGGACAAUGGUAGGAGAGCGUUCUAAGGGCGUUGAAGCAUGAUCGUAAGGACAUGUGGAGCGCUUAGAAGUGAGAAUGCCGGUGUGAGUAGCGAAAGACGGGUGAGAAUCCCGUCCACCGAUUGACUAAGGUUUCCAGAGGAAGGCUCGUCCGCU